rnacentral:lncRNA from 1 species
AAAAUAUGCGGUGGUACACGAGGACUAGAAUUGAGAACUACUGUUCAGUGGCAUCACCGCGGAAACCAACUUUUGGAAUUGUAAAUAUCAUUUUCCCAGUAUAAAGAUACUUUCGUGCAAUGGAAAGGUUUCAUGGAUGUUAAAAGUUCUUCAUGGAACCAUGAAUGCCACUAAAGAACUUUUACUUUUAGGAGUAUUAUUUAAAGUGUUUAAAAACAAUAUAUAAAAUCAUAUUGUACCAAAAAUAUAGUACUGAUCUAAACUGAAUAGCUUUCUUCUGUUUGAACAGCAUUUAUAAAUGAGAGGUUACUGUAUGUCAAUGGACAGACUACUGAAAACACUACAAUGCUUACUACGACUGCCGCCACUGAUCUAAACACCACUACAUCUGCUCCUAUGACCACCGUACCAUAUACUACAACAAGAGCUACCAUUAUUUAUUAUUAUUAUUAUUAUUAUUAUAGUUUUUCCAAUAAAUUUGUAUAAAAUAUAUUUUUUAUGUACUAAUAUUUUGAGUUUGUGGCAGUUUAAUGGUGUAAUUAAGAGUUUGAUUACUGUCAGCAAACACAUUUCUUACGCCAAAGAAACUGGUUGAUAUAUCUGUAGUAGUCAUCAAAUGUAACAAAAAAAAAACAAAAAAUAAAAAACAAACAAACAAAAAAAACCUUUCCUUAAUAUUACAACUGCCUCAGGUUUACUGUAUAGUCAUUAUUCAGUCAUUGGUUUGACCUCUGGCAUUUUGAGUGCUUUUGAUUAAACAAAUAUUGGCACAAUGGUUUUGGUCGUUUUGUUUAGGGGACUCUGGAACAGAAUAUGUACGUUGCCUCCAGUGUCCAGAUGCUCACGUCCAAACCUGAGCAGCUGACGUCCCAGAACAUCACCUCAGCUGCUAAGACUGUCAAUAACCUGCUGUCCGCCAGCAUGUUAAAUAAGUCAGUUGCAGAGUCAGUGGUGGCCACCAUCAGUCAGCUCAUGCACACUGAUGAAGACCGAUACUCUGAAGACACUUACGAUGCUCUCGAGAAUCUCACAAAGACUUUAGAGGAUUUUGCCUUGAACAUGGGUAACUCUAGUGUACUGGUGCAACCAAACCUAGCGGUGCAAAGCAUCAAGUUGUCAAAGUGGACCCCACAAGUGCAAUUCUACGCUGCAACAGGACUGUCAGAGUAUUCUCCUGAAAGAAUCGGUCUGGGUGCAGACGCUGCUAACAUGGCAUCCUCUUCAGGACGUCCCGUUGAUCUCCUGUUAAAUAUCAAACUGCAGAAUGAUUCCCAGAAAGACUGGGGGAACAAAAAUCUCGGUAUUGGAGUGGUGCUUUAUGAAAAUGAUAAGUUUUUCAACUCAAAACAAUUUAAUAGUGAACUUGAUACCAAGAGAAGGGUGGUGUCGGCCAGCCUGUCAAACAGAAGCUUGCUUGAUAACGUGGAGUUCACCAUCAAGCCAGUGGUAAAUGAUUGUAAAAUCAUAAUGAUUACAUAAAAUAUAGCAGCUUCUCAGUCACUCGUGCUAUUUGUCAAUAGAAUAUCUACAUAUGAAUUAACGUAAAGUCAGUUGUUACUUCAAAAUAAACCCUGGUCAAGGUGAUGAGGAUCAGAUAUGACUGGUUUGUAUAUUAUACUGCUCAUUUUGCAGCAACUUGCCCCCUU